ACUGUUGUCUUGGACUGGGCAGGGUCAACCUGGGGGAAGCCGACCCAGUGUCAUGUGGUCACGUAUGCCCCCGUGGUGGCCGCUAUACACGCCUUCAUUUGGAUCUGGUUUUAUUUACAAAUGGAGGAGUUAGACGGUAAAAUCCAAUCGCUGCCCGCCCUGUUGUUUGGCUGUGUCCUCCAUGGCUGUAUCAGCCUGGCCCUCCUCGUGUCCAGUGGGAUGCUGACGGGAGGGGUGAACAAGCUGUGCCAUAACCUACAGUCCAGGCUCCCCACAUACAGUUGUUCCCAGUUGGAAGACAUGCAGUGGACAACACUGAAAGGAACCGAAGAGUUUUAUACCUAUAUGAAAGUGACAGAGGUGUGUACCUGGUUCAGUGCGAUCACUUCCGCCGUCUUAGCAGUUCUGAACGGAUACAGGGCAUGGAGCAUCAUCUCUCAACUCAAGCGCCGGGGCGACCCAGAAACAGGCUCAGUGCUUCUCCGCAGAGGGAGACAAUUCGGCUCCUCUCAUUUCUUUUUGGACGAAUCGUUUUCAGUUCGCAGCUUAACUGUAGAUCGGCGGACGUCAAAUAUAGUUUAAUACCGUGUUCGUAGAAGUCUUAGAAACUUAAUUAAUUUUAUUGACUCGAAAGGUUGUGCAAUAUUUGGGUUCUUUUAAGAGUUCUGAUUGUGUUUGACCCCAAGGGUCGUUGUAUGACGGGACCUUUGCCAAAAUGUUAGUGGUAGUGAAAUGAGUUUUGUGUAUUUAUCAUGUUCAUUAACAAGUCCAUUUUUACAUUAAAUAUUAUUGUUAUUUAUUUUAGUUCAUCAAAUUAAUGUUGUUUCAUUAAAAUAUUUU
rnacentral:misc_RNA from 1 species